GUGCGGGCAGAUUUCGCUCUCUCUGUCGUUAGCCGGGACGAGUGGAAGCAAACGCUCCGGCUCUGCAGAGUUUGUGGGAAUUCAAGGCAUUCUUGUCUUUGUUUCCCGCCCUGUGCUCCUCCUCAGGGGUUUAUGGCGAUAGUUCCGGAUGGGGCCCCUCGUCGGGUGGCUGAAAACCAGCUUCUAAUUUCUAUCUAAAUCAAUAGAUGUUUGUGGUUUCUUGUUUACUUCCCCUUUCCAUGUAGUUACGUAUCCAAUUCCCACUCAUCCGUUGUGCUAGGUUAUAUAAGCCAAACCUUUUGAGUGCCGCGCGGUCCUACAAGCGGUCCCCUGGCCAUCGGGAUGUAUGUUCCGCGGCACUUUCUCAAUUUAAAUUCUUUUUCUCCUGAAAGGGCUGCUGCGUGGAGUGUCAGACGGCGAUGCCUCAAACACAGCACUAAUGUUUUCCUGAAGUUGGUGGAAGUUCCAUGACUGGGCUCGCACUGGUCACUUUCAGUCACGCCAUGCCGUCAGUUUCCUGUCACCCUGCGGCUGCUUGGUAAAGCCAAAUCCUUCUCCCAUUCGCUUAUUUCUUGCUUGGACUCCCAACAAAAAGCAAAACCAAUUUGUUAAAAGUUUAUUUCCUGAACGUCUGAAGUUUCAAAUUCGUACUAUACUAUUUUGUGUGUCAUCCCUCAAAAGUGAUUUUAGUAAAUCCACGCUGCCUUUUAUCCCUUUGUUGUUCAUUGAAUAAGAUGUUUUCAGUUAGAGUCUCCUCUGCAAGUUCUUUUGAAGAAGUGCACAGACAUUAAAAUCACAGGCCCAAACUGCUUCCACCAUGGCUUCUUAGAACUUGCUGUUCUCCAGUCCUGUGGUAAUGCCUUCAAGUAGGCAAAUUUACUUAAAAUCUUUUGGAUUUGUGCACGUCAGGGCUCUGGAAUUGAGAAUGCCUGGCUCCUCCAGCUGGACAACAGCAGACUCACUCCUAGGAUGUGCUUGAGUUCCUUUUGAGGUUAUCUUGCUGUGGCAUGCCUGGUCACACACCAUCCCAGUGACAAGUCUCUUCUGCUGGGGUGAUCUGGCAGCAAUGUUACAGAACUGGGAAGGCAGCUGUGAUGGCCAAGUUUUCCCUUUUAUGUGGCCUUUGUGAUCUUAUUAUCAGCAGUAGAUGCUCAGGAGGAAAGCAGUCAUCUGGCAUGAUUGACACUGAUUUUCUGCCUCAGAGAGCUUCAAUGAGAGAAGGCUCAGAACUGCACAAACAGAAUGGGGAGUUAAAUGCAGAACCUUUCCACUGGCCUCAGGUGGCAUUUGAUCAGGAUCUGAGUGAUAACAGAUGGAAACAAAUGCCACAUUCUUAUUAAGCAACGUGCUUGCCUUCAAACUAUGAGAUACCAUUAGACCAUUGUCACAAAAAUAAAGUUCAGAGACAGUUAUACAAGGGUAUGUCCGAAAUAUGGAUUCAAUAAUAUCUGAAGUCAAGUUGUACCUCAGCCCGUUGCAGCCGUCUGUCUGAGGCCGUACAUCAGCCUGAGAAAAAGCACACAGGGAAAAAAAAGUCAUGUCUGGAUGCUUUCUCUACCUGGAGAAGGAAAAGAACUGGCAUCUUGCAAGCAAGGUCUGCUGCAAUGCUUUAAGGUCAUUAUUAUCCAAUGCAAUGGAGGCAAAGCUACAGAACACAAAGGAAUUCAACCUGUACAGAACAGCAAGAAAAAAGAAAGCAUUUCCACAGUCAGGCUCAUUCUGAUGCCAGCUGCUCUGCUUUUCUACCACGCCAUUUCACCUACCUACACCCAGUCUUACAACUACAGAAGCAAAGAAUCAGCAGCUACCAACUUCUCCUUCAGAGCCCUUCUAGUACCCUGCAGCGUGCAAUCUGUGAGAGCACAAUUAUCCCGCAAGUGGCUCAUUCCACCUUCUGGGAGGGUGAGCACACGGCUCAUGCUGUUCUUCUUUCUGUCACUGCUGUACUUCCUUUUUCCUGCAGUAAUUUACAGUGGCAGUGGGAUGAUACAAGCACAGUAAGCAUUACCCAAAAUGGAGAAAACCCUGAGCUGUCUUUUGAACAGUACAUCAGAAAGAAUAAAAAAACCUAUUAAAAACAGGGAUUUAGGAAGGUUACCGUCUGUCACUAAUGGAAACAAAAUGGCUUCGUGUUACAAGUACAGGAAAAAUUCUAAAAUAGGAAUCUUGCUUGAAGAUUUCAUUCCCUGUCUCCUACAGGGAAGGCUACAUCCUUGCUAAGCAAAGCGCACACAGUACACAGCUCAGCUUUUUUUUUUUUUUUUUUUUUUCUUUUUGGGCACGUAAGGCUUACUAUGCAGCAGAGUGAGAGCCAUCAAUGAUGUACUUGUGCCUGCCCAAA